UGGUGAAUUUCAAGAUGGCUUCUUUUCGCAUCCCCUACGAAAAGCAGGAGGGCAUUUUUCUCAGAUAUUCACCGUCAGAACCCGGUAAAGCUCCCGAAGUUAAGACUCACAGAAGUGUGGCGUCCUCCCAAUGACUGGGGACCCCUGGAGUUUUUCCUCUCUCGGACUUGUCCACACUGACCAGCAAUUCGUCAAUUACAGCUCGGCAUUUUAUACCCCAGUGCUGGUUCCUUACAGAGGUUUCUGCCCCUGGGCUUCUGAUCCGAUAUGUCUGCAAGAUCCCCUCGGAAUGAGUUGGAAAACAAGAAAGGUGGAUGCUUAGAAUGCUGUACUCACAAAUGCCACUCACUCCACUAGCACUCAGCCAGUGGGCCAGGCCAGACCUCAACCACUGUCCUCCACUUCAGGACGUCCAAAACUAUGUUGGAUAAAAAAGGUGACAGAGGACAUCCUUGCCUUGUUCCUGAUCUUAGAGGAAAUGCCUUCAGCUUUUCACCAUUGAGAAUGAUGUUAGCUGUUGGUUUGUCAUAUAUGGCC